GCGGCUCGCCGCGCUCUCCAGCGCUGCGGCAGGGGCGGGCUCCCUCCGCCCGUCUCACCGGCGCUCCCCGCCCCGGCCCCUUCCCUGAGGAGAGUUUUACCGCCUCCCCUCCCGGGGCCCGGCUUCCGCAGCCCCCGUUACCUCUCCUGCUCCCCGCCGUCACCGCCCCGCUCGCCGCGGCUCGGGGGAUGCUCGUAGCCCGCCCGGCCUCUGCGGAGCGGCACGUGAUGCCCGGCCCGCUCCGCUGGAUUGGGUGGGGGGCGCGCGCGCUCAGGCACCGCCUCCCGCCGGGCCCCUCGCCUCAGCCAUGGCGGGCGAGGCUGAGCCCCCCCCGGGGUGUGUCCUGCGCUCCCCACGAGCGAUUUGCGACCCCUCCCCCUCUGCGGACGGGGACUUCGCGCUCCCGCCCCCCGUGGCUGUGGGACGGGCCUGCCUCAGCGCCAGGCGGGGUAAAGCCUCCCCCACAAAGGAGAAGUCCAGGGAAGCCAGGCACACCAAGGUCUGGCAGAACUGCUGAUUAAGUCGCAGGGUAGCUGGUCUCUGUGGACAGACAGAGCCAGGCUCCCCUGGAAAUUCAGCUAAUUAAAGAGGGCUGGGGUACACCUGGGCCUACAAAGGGCUGCUAGUAGGCAUCUGAAGGAAGGACUGAGACAGGCUGAACCCGGCACUAGCAGAGGAAGCUGUACUGGAGUGGAGCUAACUUCUGUGGCAGUCCCUAGAGCAAGAGGCCAGGGAAACAGCCCUGUGGCUGCUGCUCCAAGUGGGGAGUAGAGCUGAGUGAAACUGGAAAGCUGCCAGAAGCUGGAAUGCCGCCAGAGACCCCUGGAAGAGGUGGCCCUGAAGCCUGGGACUAAAAACUGGGUUAAGACACAGUUUUCUGUUCAUUUCCUAACCUCGGUUAUGAAAAAUAAACUUUGACUGAGACUGGGCAUGGUAGCGUAUGCUUUGGAGCCGGGGAAAAGUGAUGGCCCUGAUGACAUCAACACUAAUCAAUAAUUACCGGUUUGUUGAUACACACAAUGGUCGUGCGUGAGUCCGGUUUCUACUUCUUCAACUCUAUCCAUGCUGUAGAGCUGAGCUGGGCAAUGAUAUCUUCAAAAGGCUGGACACAAUUUCCAAACGAUACCAAGGAAACCUUGAGUGUUAUGGGUUUGGUAAACCUUGUUGAAACUGGUGGUUGUAACAACCAGCCUACAUUUGGGAUAAAUAUAAGAUGCCCUUAAGCCCAUUUAUGGAACAAAGUAGCUGAAAUAAUAGGAGCACUGUCCAAACCAAAAACACAGACCCAUGUCGGUGGAGAGGUUUCCCUGGGUAAUGUUUUAGGAGAAGUGUGUGUGUGUGUAUGAGAAAAAUAGGAAGAACACCAGAGAAGCUGAUUGAGAAGCAGCAGAAAUCCAGUGACACUGCCAUCGGAAACGUAGCCCUGAGAAAAGCCUAGAGAGACCUGUGGAACUAAGUGCUGGCAGGAAAGGGGCUUGGAACACUGGGCAAAGAAGCUGUCACCUGCUGUUUUACUCCUGUUGUGUUAAUGAAAACAGGAGUAUGUACAUUCUUUGUAAAUAGUAUUAUAUCAAAGAAAUACCUGACUCCAAUAUCAACCUCCUAACUCAAACAACAUGCUAGCCUGAAUUGUGGCUAACUGCUUGAGUCAAAAAGGUAGCACAAGAAAGCAACCAAUCUGCCAGUGUAAUCUAUUCCUUUUAAGUCCUUCUUAAGCGUCCUUCUGGGCAAUGUCCAAGGCCUUUUUUUUCUUUUAUUGUCUACUAUUAGGUUCUUUAUUGGACAUUUUGUGCAGUGUUUAUAGUUUCUUUAAUCUGCCUUUGGGACUUAUUUGUGCAAAUUGAUCACUUGUAAUUGUGAUUGUUUUAAGGGUGGUUGUCUUUAUUAUGGAGACACCUAAAAUUAACUACAUUUAAUGAACAAGGUUAAACCACAUCUUUGGCUGGUGUAAAUUGGUUUAGCUAAGCUGAUUUAAACCCACUGAGGAUCUAGCCCAUCUCCAGUGUAAAGAGAGCAGCAAAGAGUCCUGUGGCACCUUAUAGAGCAACAGACAUUUUGGAGCAUGAG